CCUACGGGAGGCAGCAGUGGGGAAUAUUGGGCAAUGGGCGCAAGCCUGACCCAGCAACGCCGCGUGAAGGAAGAAGGUUUUCGGGUUGUAAACCUCUUUUCUCAGGGACGAAGCAAGUGACGGUACCUCAGGAAUAAGCCACGGCUAACUACGUGCAAGCAGCCGCGGGAAUACGUAGGGGGCGAGCGUUAUCCGGAUUUACUGGGGGUAAAGGGCGUGUAGGCGGGGACGCAAGGCAGGUGUGAAAACCACGGGCUCAACCUGUGGCCUGCCUUUGAAACUGGGUGUCUUGAGUACGGGAGAGGCAGACGGAAUUCCUAGUGUAGCGGUGAAAUGCGUAGAUAUUGGGAGGAACACCAGUGGCGAAGGCGGUCUGCUGGACAGCAACUGACGCUGAGGCGCGAAAGCGUGGGUAUCAAACAGGAUUAGAUACCCCAGUAGUC
rnacentral:rRNA from 1 species